UAAUACCCCAUAAUAUACUGACUGGCAUCAGUUGGUAUUGAAAACUCCGGUGGAUAGAGAUGGGCACGCGCAAGAUUAGAUAGUUGGUAGGGUAACGGCCUACCAAGUCAGUGAUCUUUAGGGGGCCUGAGAGGGUGAUCCCCCACACUGGUACUGAGACACGGACCAGACUCCUACGGGAGGCAGCAGUGAGGAAUAUUGGACAAUGGGUUAGCGCCUGAUCCAGCCAUCCCGCGUGAAGGAUGACGGCCCUAUGGGUUGUAAACUUCUUUUGUAUAGGGAUAAACCUACUCUCGUGAGAGUAGCUGAAGGUACUAUACGAAUAAGCACCGGCUAACUCCGUGCCAGCAGCCGCGGUAAUACGGAGGGUGCAAGCGUUAUCCGGAUUUAUUGGGUUUAAAGGGUCCGUAGGCGGAUCUGUAAGUCAGUGGUGAAAUCUCAUAGCUUAACUAUGAAACUGCCAUUGAUACUGCAGGUCUUGAGUAAAGUAGAAGUGGCUGGAAUAAGUAGUGUAGCGGUGAAAUGCAUAGAUAUUACUUAGAACACCAAUUGCGAAGGCAGGUCACUAUGUUUUAACUGACGCUGAUGGACGAAAGCGUGGGGAGCGAACAGGAUUAGAUACCCUGGUAGUCCACGCCGUAAACGAUGCUAACUCGUUUUUGGGCUUUCGGGUUCAGAGACUAAGCGAAAGUGAUAAGUUAGCCACCUGGGGAGUACGUUCGCAAGAAUGAAACUCAAAGGAAUUGACGGGGGCCCGCACAAGCGGUGGAUUAUGUGGUUUAAUUCGAUGAUACGCGAGGAACCUUACCAAGGCUUAAAUGGGAAUUGACAGGUUUAGAAAUAGACUUUUCUUCGGACAAUUUUCAAGGUGCUGCAUGGUUGUCGUCAGCUCGUGCCGUGAGGUGUUAGGUUAAGUCCUGCAACGAGCGCAACCCCUGUCACUAGUUGCCAUCAUUCAGUUGGGGACUCUAGUGAGACUGCCUACGCAAGUAGAGAGGAAGGUGGGGAUGACGUCAAAUCAUCACGGCCCUUACGCCUUGGGCCACACACGUAAUACAAUGGCCGGUACAGAGGGCAGCUACCAGGUGACUGGAUGCGAAUCUCGAAAGCCGGUCUCAGUUCGGAUUGGAGUCUGCAACUCGACUCUAUGAAGCUGGAAUCGCUAGUAAUCGCGCAUCAGCCAUGGCGCGGUGAAUACGUUCCCGGGCCUUGUACACA
rnacentral:rRNA from 1 species